AGAUUAAGUUAUUAAGGGCGCACGGUGGAUGCCUUGGCACUAGAAGCCGAUGAAGGACGUUACUAACGACGAUAUGCUUUGGGGAGCUGUAAGUAAGCUUUGAUCCAGAGAUUUCCGAAUGGGGAAACCCAGCAUGAGUUAUGUCAUGUUAUCGAUAUGUGAAUACAUAGCAUAUCAGAAGGCACACCCGGAGAACUGAAACAUCUUAGUACCCGGAGGAAGAGAAAGAAAAUUCGAUUCCCUUAGUAGCGGCGAGCGAAACGGGAAGAGCCCAAACCAACAAGCUUGCUUGUUGGGGUUGUAGGACACUCUAUACGGAGUUACAAAGGACGACAUUAGACGAAUCAUCUGGAAAGAUGAAUCAAAGAAGGUAAUAAUCCUGUAGUCGAAAAUGUUGUCUCUCUUGAGUGGAUCCUGAGUACGACGGAGCACGUGAAAUUCCGUCGGAAUCUGGGAGGACCAUCUCCUAAGGCUAAAUACUCUCUAGUGACCGAUAGUGAACCAGUACCGUGAGGGAAAGGUGAAAAGCACCCCGGAAGGGGAGUGAAAUAGAACCUGAAACCGUGUGCUUACAAGUAGUCAGAGCCCGUUAAUGGGUGAUGGCGUGCCUUUUGUAGAAUGAACCGGCGAGUUACGAUUUGAUGCAAGGUUAAGCAGUAAAUGUGGAGCCGUAGCGAAAGCGAGUCUGAAUAGGGCGUUUAGUAUUUGGUCGUAGACCCGAAACCAGGUGAUCUACCCUUGGUCAGGUUGAAGUUCAGGUAACACUGAAUGGAGGACCGAACCGACUUACGUUGAAAAGUGAGCGGAUGAACUGAGGGUAGCGGAGAAAUUCCAAUCGAACCUGGAGAUAGCUGGUUCUCUCCGAAAUAGCUUUAGGGCUAGCCUCAAGUGAUGAUUAUUGGAGGUAGAGCACUGUUUGGACGAGGGGCCCCUCUCGGGUUACCGAAUUCAGACAAACUCCGAAUGCCAAUUAAUUUAACUUGGGAGUCAGAACAUGGGUGAUAAGGUCCGUGUUCGAAAGGGAAACAGCCCAGACCACCAGCUAAGGUCCCAAAAUAUAUGUUAAGUGGAAAAGGAUGUGGCGUUGCCCAGACAACUAGGAUGUUGGCUUAGAAGCAGCCAUCAUUUAAAGAGUGCGUAAUAGCUCACUAGUCGAGUGACACUGCGCCGAAAAUGUACCGGGGCUAAACAUAUUACCGAAGCUGUGGAUUGUCCUUUGGACAAUGGUAGGAGAGCGUUCUAAGGGCGUUGAAGCAUGAUCGUAAGGACAUGUGGAGCGCUUAGAAGUGAGAAUGCCGGUGUGAGUAGCGAAAGACGGGUGAGAAUCCCGUCCACCGAUUGACUAAGGUUUCCAGAGGAAGGCUCGUCCGCUCUGGGUUAGUCGGGUCCUAAGCUGAGGCCGACAGGCGUAGGCGAUGGAUAACAGGUUGAUAUUCCUGUACCACCUAUAAUCGUUUUAAUCGAUGGGGGGACGCAGUAGGAUAGGCGAAGCGUGCGAUUGGAUUGCACGUCUAAGCAGUAAGGCUGAGUAUUAGGCAAAUCCGGUACUCGUUAAGGCUGAGCUGUGAUGGGGAGAAGACAUUGAGUCUUCGAGUCGUUGAUUUCACACUGCCGAGAAAAGCCUCUAGAUAGAAAAUAGGUGCCCGUACCGCAAACCGACACAGGUAGUCAAGAUGAGAAUUCUAAGGUGAGCGAGCGAACUCUCGUUAAGGAACUCGGCAAAAUGACCCCGUAACUUCGGGAGAAGGGGUGCUCUUUAGGGUUAACGCCCAGAAGAGCCGCAGUGAAUAGGCCCAAGCGACUGUUUAUCAAAAACACAGGUCUCUGCUAAACCGUAAGGUGAUGUAUAGGGGCUGACGCCUGCCCGGUGCUGGAAGGUUAAGAGGAGUGGUUAGCUUCUGCGAAGCUACGAAUCGAAGCCCCAGUAAACGGCGGCCGUAACUAUAACGGUCCUAAGGUAGCGAAAUUCCUUGUCGGGUAAGUUCCGACCCGCACGAAAGGCGUAACGAUUUGGGCACUGUCUCAACGAGAGACUCGGUGAAAUCAUAGUACCUGUGAAGAUGCAGGUUACCCGCGACAGGACGGAAAGACCCCGUGGAGCUUUACUGUAGCCUGAUAUUGAAAUUCGGCACAGCUUGUACAGGAUAGGUAGGAGCCUUUGAAACGUGAGCGCUAGCUUACGUGGAGGCGCUGGUGGGAUACUACCCUAGCUGUGUUGGCUUUCUAACCCGCACCACUUAUCGUGGUGGGAGACAGUGUCAGGCGGGCAGUUUGACUGGGGCGGUCGCCUCCUAAAAGGUAACGGAGGCGCUCAAAGGUUCCCUCAGAAUGGUUGGAAAUCAUUCAUAGAGUGUAAAGGCAUAAGGGAGCUUGACUGCGAGACCUACAAGUCGAGCAGGGUCGAAAGACGGACUUAGUGAUCCGGUGGUUCCGCAUGGAAGGGCCAUCGCUCAACGGAUAAAAGCUACCCCGGGGAUAACAGGCUUAUCUCCCCCAAGAGUUCACAUCGACGGGGAGGUUUGGCACCU
rnacentral:rRNA from 1 species